AGAAACCAUCUAAUGAGAAGCAGAAAAAUAUAUUCAGUAUUGCAGUGCUUAUUUUACAAAGUAUGUUCAAGAACUCCUGUGAAAAGUCAAUGCAAUGAGAGAAGGAAGAGCAAACCUGGUAAUGUGACGGCAUCCCAUGGUUUUGCAAGAAGGCCAGUGCUAAAUCAGUUGUUUCCAAUCAGCCCUCUGCUGUGCCAGCCCAGAUGCAAACCUUAUAAUGAUGUAGGAGACCACUGUGCAGGAAUUUGGUGGAGAUCUGCCACUGAUCCUUGAAAGGUUAGUGUCUGCUCUAACAAGGCUGCUCUGCUCUCCUCUCCCCUCCUUGUAUCUAG